rnacentral:siRNA from 1 species
GAGCGCGUGUAUACGUUUUCUGUG